rnacentral:rRNA from 1 species
UAUGCAGGCGGAUCGUUAAGUCGGGGGUGAAAUCCCGAGGCUCAACCUCGGAACUGCCUUCGAUACUGACGAUCUUGAGUCCGGGAGAGGUGAGUGGAACUCCGAGUGUAGAGGUGAAAUUCGUAGAUAUUCGGAAGAACACCAGUGGCGAAGGCGGCUCACUGGCCCGGCACUGACGCUGAGAUACGAAAGCGUGGGAGCAAACA